GCUGUAGAUAGCUACGUGAUGAAUUGGACAUCUUUAUGAAUUACUAAUGGUGUAUUUGUAGGUCCUGGGGUUCUGGCAGACUAAUGAUGGUCUAACAUGCAAAGAGACUCACUAGAUGAAUGGAAAAAGUACUAAUAAAGGCAGACAAAAGGAAGUAAAAUGUGCUGAUCCUCAAAUUCGCUGAAUAUUCCUCAACAGAAAUGACAUUCCUUUGCAUAAAGUUGAUUGAAUUGGAAUCAUUAGAUAGUGCUGAGAUGCCACCAUAAGUGACAAGGAUCAUUAGUGAUAGGUAGAAGAACACUCCAAAAGUUCAUGAGAAAGUGCAAUCAAGAGAGAAGUAUUCUAU